CCCAACAAAAUUGGAUAAGAGGAAAAGUCCCCUCAAUGGCACCUCUACACUUCUACGCGACCCCUUAAAAAGCAAGGGGAGGACCCUCACUCGAAAAGAGGAGGAGAAUUGAAAAGGAAAGCGAUGAAUUAUGCCGGCAGCAGACGGGAAACAAACCACACCAAGGACCUAAGGAACCUCGUCUCAAUAAAGACGGGAAGUUCCUACCAAACAUCUCCGACCUCUAAGAAGGCUCUCGACACAGGUCAAGAAAACAGCG
rnacentral:lncRNA from 1 species